UACGGAGGAUGCGAGCGUUAUCCGGAUUUAUUGGGUUUAAAGGGUGCGUAGGCGGACUGUCAAGUCAGCGGUAAAAUUGAGAGGCUCAACCUCUCCCCGCCGUUGAAACUGGUGGUCUUGAGUGGAUGAGAAGUACGCGGAAUGCGUGGCGUAGCGGUGAAAUGCAUAGAUAUCACGCAGAACUCCGAUUGCGAAGGCAGCGUACCGGCAUCCAACUGACGCUGAGGCACGAAAGCGUGGGGAUCAAACAGG
rnacentral:rRNA from 1 species